rnacentral:misc_RNA from 1 species
UGCAAAACUCAGCCCAGAAUUUCUUUUUGUAGAGAGAGAAAUAUAUUUAUAUCAUCAUCAUCAUCAUUCAUCAUGCAGAUCUUACUCUUAACAACAUGUAUAUACAUAUACAUAUUAUAUAGCAGCUUUGAUAUGCAUUUUUUUGGUGUGUGUGUGGGUAACGUACUGAUUAACCACAUCACGUUUGAUUCAUGAUCCAUACAUGGCGUCUACUAAAAAUUUCCACUACCUAAACGGCGGCGACAGUCUCGCUUGUGGCGGAAACGUCAGAUCCCUUCCCGCCGGCUACGGCGGCAGCGACGGAGUUCUUCAUGUAGUCCUUUCUAGAUGCAACCAACGAACACUUGUCCUUCUUCUCAUCUAGAUUCAUCUGCUGCUGUCUACACUCUAGACUGCAAAAAGCACUAUCUCCUCUGUACAUGUAGAUAUCCCGGCCAGGGAUUAACCGGCGUUUACAGAGGAAGCAAGCUUUCAAAAAAUUAGCAGUUUCUAGAAAAUCAGCAGAUUUACGGCGGUUUCUGACGGAAACGGUUUUCGCUGCUGUCAAUAAACGUUGUUGAUCUAGGUGUUGCUGCUGGGUGUUUGCAGGUGAAAAAGGAUUGUGAGGAUCGAAUGGAUUAUUGUAAUUACUAAGAGAAGAAUUAGGGUCAGGAUUAUUGAGAUUGAGAUCUAAAGUGAAUUCUGUCAUACUUGUUGUUCUCUUCAUCGGUGGCCGAGUCCUCUUCCCCAGCAACAUUUUUUUCUUCUUCGAUUUACAGAGAGAGCGAACAGAGGAAGAAGAAGAAGAGUGAGAGUGGGGAAGAUGUGUUGGGAAGAUAAAGAAGAGAGCUAAAGCGCAAGGAGAGA